rnacentral:tRNA from 1 species
AGGCUUGUAGCUCAGCGGUUAGAGCGCACCCCUGAUAAGGGUGAGGACGGUGGUUCAAAUCCACUCAGGCCUA